CGGAUGGCGAGCUUACACAUGCAGGUUGACGAAAGCUUUUGCUUUAGUAGCGGACGGGUGAGUAAUACAUGAGAAUCUGCCCUUGGGAGGGGAAUAACAAUUGGAAACGACUGCUAAUGCCCCAUAUGCUUAUUAGUGAAAAGAGUAAUCUGCCCGAGGAUGAGCUCAUGCCUGAUUAGCUAGUUGGUAGGGUAAAAGCCUACCAAGGCUACGAUCAGUAGCUGGUUUGAGAGGAUGAUCAGCCACAUUGGGACUGAGAUACGGCCCAGACUUCUACGGAAGGCAGCAGUGGGGAAUUUUCCGCAAUGGGCGAAAGCCUGACGGAGCAAUACCGCGUGAGGGAGGAAUGCCUGUGGGUUGUAAACCUCUUUUCUUAGGGAAGAAGAUAUGACGGUACCUAAAGAAUAAGCAUCGGCUAACUCCGUGCCAGCAGCCGCGGUAAUACGGGGGAUGCAAGCGUUAUCCGGAAUUACUGGGCGUAAAGAGUCUGUAGGUGGUUUAUUAAGUCUAUUGUUAAAUCUUAGAGCUUAACUUUAAACCAGCAGUAGAAACUAUUAAACUAGAGUAUGGCAAGGGUAGAGGGAAUUCCCAGUGUAGCGGUGAAAUGCGUAGAUAUUGGGAAGAACACCAGUGGCGAAAGCGCUCUACUAGACCAUUACUGACACUCAGAGACGAAAGCUAAGGGAGCGAAUGGGAUUAGAUACCCCAGUAGUCUUAGCUGUAAACGAUGGAUACUAGAUGUUGCUCGUAUCGAUCCGUGCAGUAUCGUAGCUAACGCGUUAAGUAUCCCGCCUGGGAAGUAUGCUCGCAAGA
rnacentral:rRNA from 1 species